GGGGUUCAUGGUUUUUUGUUUUUUUAAAAAAAAUAAAAUAAACUCUGUGAGAUAUAUAAAGAACUCUGUUUCUAAAGAACACUGAUGAGUCCACAUCAAAUUAGGCCACACACUGUUCUGCUGCAAUGAAUGGAGGAGCAAUUCCUAUUCAUUUCAUUGGAACAGGCUAAAAUCUUUAAACAUUUAUAAAAAGGAAACCAUGAACCCCACCAGCCUGGGGUUCCCGGGGGGAGUUCUGGCCAUAUCUGCCUUGCCUCCAAACCCACUUUGGUGCCCAGGCACCCCUCAGGGGGGCAGAUGAGGCAUCCUCAAAUCCCCAUUAUUCCCUAUGGGAAAAAUGGGGAAAAUGUAAACAUCUUCAGAAAUUCAUCAAUAAUCGCAGGGGGGUUUGAUUGUUUUGGGGUUUGGUGGGUGGUUGGCACCCAUGGGUGGUAGACCCAUGGGUGCUUACCACCCACUCUGCUUUUGUGCACCUAGGUGCCCUGCACAAGGAAUAAUGGGCUAGUUUGAGUCCCCAUUAUACCCUAUGUAGAACCUUUUAGAACUGGUUUGAGUUGAGUUUGAAUUUAAACCCAACCAGGGGGGUUGGUGUUUCGAGCAAAACCAAAACCAAACCUACCUCCCUGGUUCGAAUUGGGUUUGAAUUCGAACCAAACAGGACAAGCCGGUUUUGUGCACACUCCUACGAAUUGAUGGAAUGAAGGGGAACAAGUUGAGACUCAACCCAGACCAGACAGAUGUACUGUUGGUCAAUGGUUCCUCUGCCUGAGUGAAUGAUGUUCAGCCUGUUCUAGAUGGAGUUGUAUUCCUCCAGAAUGACCAGGUUCACAGUCUGGGGGUGCUCAUUGAUCUAGCAUUGUCACCAGCGGCUCAAGUGGCUUCUGGCUUGGAGCGCCUUUUAUCAGCUUUGGCUGAUAAGCCAACUGUGACUGUGCCUGGAUAGAGAUAGCUUGGUCACAGUAACUCAUGCUCUGGUAACCUCAUGCUUAGUUUACUGCAAUGAAUUGUACAUUGGGCUGCCUUUGAAAACAGUCUAUAAACUGUAGUUGGUACAAUAUAGGGCAGCAAGAUUAUUACCUGGGACUGGGCACUUUGGUCAUAUUACGCCAGUGCUUUGUCAGCUCCACUGGCUCCCAGUCUGUUUGCAGGCCCAAUUCUAAGUGCUGGUUUUAAUCUUUAAAGCCCCAAGUGGCUCGGGACCCUGUUAUCUGAGAGAGCGCCUUGCCCCAUAUUGCCUGACUCAGACCUUAAGAUCUUCUUUGGAGGCCCUGCUCUGAGUGCCCCUGCCAGACAAGGUGAGCCGGGUGGCUAUUAGGGAAAGGGCCUUUUCAGUGGUUGCAUCCUGUUUAUGGAGCCCACUCCCCAGUGAGGUUCACCUGGCACCAUCACUUCGCUCUUUUAGAAACCAAGAAAAGACCUUUUUGUUUACUCAAGUCUUUUUAAUUUGAUUUUUAAAUUUGAUUUUUAAAGCUGUCUUUUAAAAAGCUUUAAAUUGUUUUGUACUUUUUGUAGUGUGUGUGUGUGUGUGUGUGUGUGUGAUUAUUAGAUGUGUUUUAUGUGUUUUUACUCUUGUUUUAAUGCUGUAUUAUGAGAACAAUUUGUUAUGGGGGGGCUAACAAAUAAAGUAUCAUCAUCAUCAUCAUCAUCAUCAUCAUCAUCUAUUUGCAAGGCUGAUAUAAUAUAAAUUUUAUUAAAGAAUAACAUUAUUAUCAUAACUAGGACACUGGAGAGCAUCUCCUUGAUUUUACAUUAAUCUUAUAAUAACUUUUUUAUUCUGAAUAUGAAAGCAGACUGAGCAUAUGGAGGUAAGAAACUCAUUUUACGGUAGUAAGUGCAUAGAGAAAAUUCAUACAAUGUAUCUUCUAGAGAACGUACAGCUUUAUAUACAUACCUUAAGAAUGUUCUGAUCUCAGAAGAUUGUUGAUAAAGUUUGCCUGAAUAAAAUUGUUUGGAAAAGGUAGCCUAUAUAUUUUGUAAGAGAUUGUAUCAGAAGUAAAAUGAACAUAUUACUGAUUUUUUUUUUGUCAGCUUGCGGUAACACCUGCCACACAUACAAGGUCUUUAGCCUUUCAUGCACAUCAUAACUUCAUUCUAAAUUUAAAGGAACAGGGAAAGCAAUAGAGCAAAGCUACCCAGAUGUUGUAAGGUCUGUGCAAUUGUAAAUUUAAGAGUACCAGCUUUCCAUCCAGAUUUUAAUGCACCAGAUACAAUAUGAAAAUUCCAAACCACACUGGCUUAUUGAAAUGUCUGGCCAUUUCAAUAUGAAUUUUGGAACAGAUGUACAGAGGUAGGCAAUAAAGCUGUGAUAAUAAGGAACAUUUCCACAUCAUCUCACAAAACUACUAAUCUAUAAUGAGAACUAAAACUAUUCAGUGAAAAAGGGUGGUUUUCAUUAUUUUUAGUCAACUCAGUUGUUGGAAAUCCAAAUGCCUUUAUUCCAUUGCUUUGACUUUGAUAAUAUUAGGAGUGUGUGUGGGUGGGUGCUUGUGUGCAGGCUGAAAGGAAUGAAAGUCGCCAGAUUCUAGCUGGACUGAUACAUUACUCUUCAGUUCAUUACUGUCUUGAGUAUUCAGUGACUCCCUUUUACAGGACAGGGCUUAAAGCACUAGUUUUCAAAAAGAAUCAAAUGUUGCUGUUUAAUAAAGCAAACAGUAAUUGCCUUGUCUCCCACAUUCUUCUUUUGGAUGGUCGCUACAUAAUUUCAACCACACCUGGAUGCUACUAGUAUUGAAAGCCUGCCAGUCUGGCGUUCGGUUUGGUUCCAGCACUUGCUGUUUCCAGCAUGCGGUUGUGCAAAUUCCUGUAACAUUUCCCCAGAUGUUGCAGCCUUGCCUCAUAAGGACCCUUCUGAACCCUGAUCAUCCUGAUACAGGCCUUUUGCCCUUGGGCUAAAUAUCUGAAGGAACACUGCCUCCAAUAUCUCUCGUUUGUGCUGAGGAAGUAUAUCAGGAAGUUUGGCAACGCUGCAAAAGGACAGUUAAACUUUGGCUGGGUGACCCAAAACAUUGUGUUCUACUUUGAAAGUAUUUCCAACAACAACAGCAGCAAGAGCAAUGAAGAAAAGAAAGGAAAAGAAAAGAAAGAAAGAAAGGGGGGGGGAUCUCCUCCAAGUGCCUGAAAUCCAUAGAAAGCAAAGGAAUUGUAAAGGCAUCUGGCAGCAGUUGUCGCUUGCCAAGCUUGUGGUCAUGUUGUGCUGGCUCACAAACUGG